GUCUUUGCAUCAUUAGUUCAUGCACAGGAAAGCUAAUAAAAGGUCUAGAGUCGAUUCUUUGUGUACAAUUUGCAUUUGGAGUCUGUUGCUGUUGUGUCUCAACAUAAGGACCUAGUAAGUGUCAAUGCAGUAAAAUCAGGCCAGCAUGAGACUGAAAAAUCUGAAUAAAUUGCUCAGAGACAUAGACAAAUCAUUGGGUGCAUGAAAAUGCCUGACACAUUGUUAGGAAGCAAGACCGCACUGAUGAGCUCAGAAAUGCCAAAUGACCUGGUAGACCAAAUAAGACCACUGUAGUGGAUGACCAAAGAAUAUCUUCAAUUGUGAAGAAAAACCCAUUUUCAACCAUCAAAAAGAUCAAGAAUACUCUCCAGGAUGUAGGCAUGUAGGCAGAUGUUUCAAAAACUACCAUGAAGAUAAAACCAGCUAUAGAUUAUACAGAUGUUACAUAAAAGGACCAUAAGAUUUCAAUUUGAGGAGCAAUGAGAAACAGGUGUCCACCCAAACCUGAGCCAUGGGAGCCUGAUACAUGGGAAAAAGGAUCUUAAUGAAAAGUGAUGGAUAUCCCAUCCAGUAUGGACAUAUCCUCUCCACGUUUUAGGCCCCCCUUCACCCUCACACAACAGCACUUCCCCUGCUUUUGGAGAUAGUCCUUAGUGAAUUACACCAUCAACAGAUGCAUAGUGAUUGAAGAGUAAAUACAUGGGAAAUAAGAGCUCGAUAAGCACUGCUGAGACAACCAAAUACAAAGAGAAAAGGUUAUUUUCUCAGUGAAAUGACUACAAGUAAUUUGAGGGAAGGAGAGAAAAAAAAGUCACGGAUGGAUCAGUUUCUGAGGAAAAGUGUAAACUAAAACAUAAUAAGGAUUUUUCCACCUGCUGAUUCAGAGAAUUAGAAGCAUACAUUAGCAAGUAGAACCAGGACUCGUGACAAAUUAGCUGAUCUCUAGGCAGGUACUCCCAGUGGGAAGACUGGUACGUUUCCUCCCUUGCACUGUUGCCAGUUGUGCCUGGUAAAGCACAGGCGUAGUUGUGUAUUCUCCACGCAACAAACAGCGAGGAACCAUCAUUACUUCAAAAAGACACUGCACUUCCCUGGAUUCUUCACUUUCUUCUUUCUUCAGGGUGUCUCUAUAGCGCUGUUAUGCUCUGUGAAGGAUAUUGGGAUCCCCAAGGGGUUCAUCACACAGGGUUCUACUGCCCUCGUCUCUCAGACACCCCAGAGCAAUCCUACUGCUGCUGGCAAGGAGAGAGCCUCAAACAGUGCUGCAACCAAUCACAGUUCCAACAUAUCAUGAACAUUAGCCUAACAGAAGUCAGUCCCACAGAGCUGGUUCACAGCAGACCACUCUCCCUCGUGGUUGUCCUCCUCUAUGGGGCUCUGGUGCUGGUCCUGAUGGUGACUGAUUUCCUGUGGUUUUGCCGCUUGCGAGGACUCACGGUGACAGCAGCUUUGAGGAAGUACAUCACCUGCCCUCGAUGGGUGAAAAGUAUCCUAUUCCCCCGUGACAAGAAGCGGCAGCGAUACCAUGGCAACAGGGAGUUAGCUCUACUACAUCGCAAGAUCCCUGAAGGCCCUUCUAAAAUGAGCAACAAGAGGGUAUGAGGAUAAUGUAGGCUAAUACAUAUAGGCCAUUCAUGCUUCCCCAUAACACCAAUUUAAUAUAUUUAUUAAUUAAUACAAAUAAAUACUAAGUUGUUAAUUUCAGAGUUAAUAAUAAUAUAGUUGUGUCUUCGAUGGAAAGGGUUUAUUUAUAGGCAAAUCAUCCUUCAAUAUGCAGCAAUAAUCCACGCGUAUUGGCAGUAACUACCUAGGAAGUGUUAGGCUAACUCUUUCGCCCACGAUCUCUUGCCUAUUGCAAAUACAUACUGGUUGCUGUAAUCCAUGGCCAUUUUACCAUUAAAACAAGAGAUAUCUUUAUAGUUUUAGCUCGCUUUAUUAAAAAUAAUUUGCAUAAAAAAAUAUCGCGGACAAAUGUUAGAAUCUGACACCCUGUCUCGUGAGGUGAAAGGAUUGUAUUAUCAAUAAAAUUGAAAGGCAUUUCUGAAUGCGAUAAAAAAGCAAUAAUGAUUGCCAACAAACUCAGAAAAAG